CUUUAGUCUCUAAUUUGAGUUUAGCCUAGAUAAUUAAUUUAUUGAUGUCGUACUGAUCCUUGUGUUUGUAUGAUUAUAGAGACUGUACUGGAGUAUUUGUGCUGCCUGAUAUUUGGGACUACACACCAAUCUCUCUGGCUGACCUACCUGCCUACUUACCUUUUUUGCAAUUAAAUCUGUUUGGUCAAAAACCAUGCUGGCCGAAGAAACUGAGAUGCUUACUUAUGAGGACAUAAACUAACUUGGAAAGUCCUGAAGAUGCAGUGCUGUCUAAUGCCG